GCUAGUAGCUCUCUCCCCCUAUAGCUCCUCCUACAGCUACCUACCCUCUCUCUGUUUCUAGGGCUCGAUCCAGGCGACACACACAGCCAUGGCAUGGGGGAGGAGGGAGGAGUAAUUCAUAUUGCUGGCCCCCGUUGCACACAAAUACACAUGCAGGCGCGCAGCGGAAAGCUAAAGGGAAUCUCAAUUUAUGUCGUUGCACCUACAUAUAUGCAUGAAUCGAUGUACCCUUCCCCUUCACCUCUCCUCUCGCUCUGCAUACUUAUGUUAGAGAGAGAGAGGCAGCGACAGAGAGAGGGCCGUGUUUCCAUUAAUGCUGCAGCCUGUCUUUACUCAUUUGGUAGCCGGGGCUCUUCAAUGCCGCUCCACCCACACCGCACCUCCGGGCCGGACCUCCUCCAUAAGUUCCGCCCCUCCCCCCUCCUUCCACUUCACAAUCUCCAGCCUCUCCUCUCUUCUCCUUCCGUCUCUUCCGAGAGGAACUCGAAGCUGCUCCGAGGAGAGAGAUUGAAAUGGUCACUAUGAUGUUGGCUCGACUCACUCAGACCACGCCGGCCAGAGCGAUGCCUGCGAGCUCGCCACCGCGAUCCAUCUGAUUGAGCCGUGCCAAUAUCUUAGUGCUCUUUCAUUUACCAAUGGCGACGGCCGGCCGAUGCGUGAGCGCCUUCAUCUGCAUUCCAGGUGGUGGUACAUGGUAACUCUCAAGAAAGAAAAGGUUGGACACAAAGAAAUCAGUAUCAGAACUUCACCCCUUCUGUAGUCUCUGGCAACAGGAAUCAAAGAACAGUUCUACGUACUACCUGCAAGAGGCAAAUACAAGUAGUUACUGUUUUGUAACCUGAAGAUGCCCCGUCAGAACAGUUCAGUUAGAAGACCUCCACAUGAUUGUAGUCUGUGUUGUGAGAGACUGGCUUUUCAGAACCUGGGUGCAUAUGAACACACUUUUUCAAAAGUACGUUUGUGAUGUGAAAACAUGUUUUAAAAAUCGAAACACAAAAUGAAUGCAAAGGUGAUCUCAAACAUGUGCCUUGGACAUGAGUUUCGUGACGAAAAAACCUUUUAUUUUGCCUCGGCAAAAAAAAUGAAAUUUUGCAGGGCUAUAUAGCAGUAUAUAUGUGACGUAUUUUAUCUUUUUUAGAUUACGAAAUAAAAAAUUGGUUUCUCCGCGAAAACUUUCUACGCACACAUGGAACAUGCAUACGUACCCCUAUUUUAUUUCAGAAUUUUUUAACAUUUGGAAAAUGCAUUUUCCACCUGGGUUCACGUGCACCCAGGUUCAAUUGGGACUUUUCCGUGUUGUGAUGACAAUUUUGCAGGAAAAUGAACGUGUAGUGUUGUGCUUGCAAGUGUGCUCUCUAACGUCUCUGUACACGCAUCAUCCUCCAUAGUAGAGAUAAUUAAUAGUGCUCCUAUCCAAAAUGAAGUCAUUUGUAAAAUUUACAAUGUCCAUUAGAUUCCAUGAGUGUUUAUUUCCCCAGCGUUCGUGCAAACUGAUGAAAUCUCGGCAUGUACUGUAGUACAUACAAAAUGAGAAGCGCAUGUAAUUUUUCCUUGUAUUUUCAGAAGACUUUAUGUACUACACAGAACUUGGAAUGGAGUUCAUGAGACAUGCAUAGUUGAA